rnacentral:misc_RNA from 1 species
GCAAACUACUUAGGCGGAGUUAUUGAAUUUAUAUCAUACUAAUUUAAAAAAAAAUAGUUAUCUAUAAAAUAAUUAUUGCACAUUUCAAAAUUUAAUAAAAAAAAAAAAAUCCAUGGAAUGCUAUUCUGCAAUCUGCAUUUAAAUUUGAACCGAAAUAUCUAGGAAUAACUAUUUAACAUGGAAUAGCUACUCUAUUCCUUGCCAUUCCACGAACCGAACAAAGGCUUUAAUGUGUUUUCAUUUCUUUAAACUAUAACAUAAUGGAGUAAUCUUCUAGCUAGGUUUUUUCAAUAUUCUGGGUUGACUUUUUGUGUCUUGUACAGCUGCAAGUAGUUUGGAGGAAUGUUUCAUUGAUUUUGGUUAUUGAGCUUUUUUAUUUUCCCCCCAUAUUCUAGUUCUGGUAGAUAAUCAAAUCCUCUUGUCAGAUGUUGCAUACUGAACACAAUUGCUUGAUAACAGAACUAUACCGAUUUUUUUAUUUCUAAAGAAUUCACUUCUUUUGCGUUAAUUCCCUUCCCAUGUUGAUGAUGUUUUUUUUCUAAAUCUCUAUUUUCUUCUAUGGCA